AUGUUUGGACGCAUGCCAAGGAAGACCAGCAACAACACCAAGUACUACGAGGUGCUUGGUGUAUCCAAGACAGCAACCCCGGAUGAGUUGAAGAAAGCUUACCGGAAAGCUGCUAUAAAAAACCAUCCUGACAAGGGCGGAGACCCUGAGAAGUUUAAAGAAUUGGCACAAGCUUAUGAUGUUCUCAAUGACCCUGAAAAGAGGGAGAUUUAUGACCAAUAUGGAGAAGAUGCAAUCAAAGAAGGGAUGGGAGGCAGCGGCGGCGCUGAUAUGCAUAGCCCCUUUGACAUAUUCGAACAGCUAUUUGGGGGUGGCGGCGGCGGCUUUGGAGGUGGUAGCUCGAGAGGACGCAGACAAAAGCGUGGUGAAGAUGUGGUGCAUACCAUGAAGGUUUCGUUAGAAGACUUGUACAAUGGUGCUACCAAGAAGCUAUCUUUAUCACGGAAUGUUCUUUGUGGAAAAUGCAAGGGAAAGGGAUCCAAGAGCGGGGCAACGGCUACUUGCAGUGGUUGUCGUGGUGCAGGAAUGAGGAUGAUAACAAGACAGAUUGGACCUGGCAUGAUCCAACAGAUGAAUACUGUUUGCCCUGAAUGCAGAGGAUCAGGCGAGAUGAUAAAUGACAAGGAUAGAUGCCCAAGCUGCAGAGGGAACAAAGUAUCCCAGGAGAAGAAGGUCUUGGAGGUUCAUGUGGAGAAGGGAAUGCAACAUGGCCAAAAGAUUGUAUUCCAGGGUGAAGCUGACGAAGCUCCUGAUACAGUGACAGGAGACAUUGUUUUUGUCUUGCAACUUAAAGAGCACCCAAAAUUCAAGAGGAAGUCGGAUGACCUAUUUGUUGAGCACACGAUCUCUCUGACUGAGGCUCUCUGUGGCUUUCAGUUUGUUCUGACCCAUCUUGAUGGUCGGCAGCUUCUGAUCAAGUCCAAUCCUGGGGAGAUCAUCAAGCCUGGCCAGCACAAGGCCAUAAAUGAUGAGGGCAUGCCCCAGCACGGCCGGCCGUUCAUGAAGGGUCGCCUGUUUGUCGAGUUCAGCGUGGAGUUCCCUGAGCCCGGAGUACUGACCCCUAGCCAAUGCAAGUCACUUGAGAAGAUCCUGCCGCCAAGGCCAGGGAGCCAGUCGUCGGACAUGGACGUGGACCAGUGCGAGGAGACCACCAUGCACGACGUGAACAUCGAAGAGGAGAUGAGGCGCAGGCAGCAUCAGAGGCGGCAAGAAGCAUAUGAUGAGGAAGACGAUGACGAAGGCGGUGCACCAAGGGGUGUGCAGUGCGCCCAGCAGUAA
rnacentral:rRNA from 1 species